CCUACGGGAGGCAGCAGUGGGGAAUAUUGCACAAUGGGGGAAACCCUGAUGCAGCGACGCCGCGUGAGUGAAGCAGUAAUUCGUUAUGUAAAGCUCUAUCAGCCGGGAAGAAAAUGACGGUACCUGAGUAAGAAGCCCCGGGUAACUACGUGCCAGCAGCCGCGGUAAUACGUAGGGGGCAAGCGUUAUCCGGAUUUACUGGGUGUAAAGGGAGCGUAGACGGCAGUGCAAGUCUGGAGUGAAAGGGGGGGGCUCAACCCCCGGACUGCUCUGGAAACUGUACGGCUGGAGUGCAGGAGAGGUAAGUGGAAUUCCUAGUGUAGCGGUGAAAUGCGUAGAUAUUAGGAGGAACACCAGUGGCGAAGGCGGCUUACUGGACUGUAACUGACGUUGAGGCUCGAAAGCGUGGGGAGCAAACAGGAUUAGAUACCCGGGUAGUC
rnacentral:rRNA from 1 species